CAGGCUUUCUUUGGUUAGUUAUUGGAUUUGACUCAACAAGAAGGGUUUCUUCAGCUAGCAAUUUUUUCUUCAGCGAUGGAAUUGAGCACUCUCUACUCAUUGUUUUUCUUGUUUUAGACUCAAUGAUGUUUUUGCUAGCUUUUGUUAUAAGCAAAAAUAUAUAUAGCCAAAUUUAAUAAAAGGAAGAAAAACAAAAUAGUUAAAAGAUAAGAUUUGAUGUGCAAUGCUUCUUUUGGUCAUUGGAUUCAUUGAAUAGCGCACAUGUCAAAAU
rnacentral:lncRNA from 1 species